GUUUGCAGCGCUCAUGUACGAUUAUUCGCUUGAGUGUGCAAAUACGCCUUGAGAGACAAUGUGUAUGUGCGUGCAUACGUAUAUGAUACGUAUCAAGCGGUACGCGGUAGCAUCGCGACGUCAAGAUAUAAUAACGUUAUAAGGUUAAUGUUCGCGACGUCAAGAUAUAAUAACAUUAUAAGGUUAAUGUUAUAUUCGAAUCUGCUGCAGAAAAUAUAUUUGGUCCUAUCGAGAUAAAGCAAAAUCAAUCAAUCCUUUCAAGAAGGCUGGUAUACUUUUAGCUGGGAUUUCUUCAGCUGGGAUUGCAUACGGUCUUAUACCGCAGAACUUUGCUAAACAGCGUAACAUAUUGGGUUAUAGAGAUUUGGCAGUAACAGACAAUAGAGGGAAGUGACCAUAAAGCACUUAACUUCGGAUGGAC